rnacentral:tRNA from 1 species
AAAAUCCGUNGACUUUAUAAGUYGAGAGGGUUCAAGUCCCUUUAUCCC